CGAACGAAGCACUUUACCUGAUUUCCUUCGGGGAUGAUUGUUCUGUGACUGAGUGGCGGACGGGUGAGUAACGCGUGGAUAACCUGCCUCACACAGGGGGAUAACAGUUGGAAACGACUGCUAAUACCGCAUAAGCGCACAGCACCGCAUGGUGCAGUGUGAAAAACUCCGGUGGUGUGAGAUGGAUCCGCGUCUGAUUAGCUGGUUGGCGGGGUAACGGCCCACCAAGGCGACGAUCAGUAGCCGGCCUGAGAGGGCGACCGGCCACAUUGGGACUGAGACACGGCCCAGACUCCUACGGGAGGCAGCAGGGGGGAAUAUUGCACAAUGGGGGAAACCCUGAUGCAGCGACGCCGCGUGAGCGAUGAAGUAUUUCGGUAUGUAAAGCUCUAUCAGCAGGGAAGAUAAUGACGGUACCUGACUAAGAAGCUCCGGCUAAAUACGUGCCAGCAGCCGCGGUAAUACGUAUGGAGCAAGCGUUAUCCGGAUUUACUGGGUGUAAAGGGAGCGUAGGCGGUCCUGCAAGUCUGAUGUGAAAGGCCGGGGCUCAACCCCGGGACUGCAUUGGAAACUGUAGGACUAGAGUGUCGGAGGGGUAAGUGGAAUUCCUAGUGUAGCGGUGAAAUGCGUAGAUAUUAGGAGGAAC
rnacentral:rRNA from 1 species